UACGUAUGGAGCAAGCGUUAUCCGGAUUUACUGGGUGUAAAGGGUGCGUAGGUGGCAGUGCAAGUCAGAUGUGAAAGGUCGGGGCUCAACCCCGGAGCUGCAUUUGAAACUGCUCGGCUAGAGUACAGGAGAGGCAGGCGGAAUUCCUAGUGUAGCGGUGAAAUGCGUAGAUAUUAGGAGGAACACCAGUGGCGAAGGCGGCCUGCUGGACUGUUACUGACACUGAGGCACGAAAGCGUGGGGAGCAAACAGG
rnacentral:rRNA from 1 species